rnacentral:rRNA from 1 species
AGUGAACGCUGGCGGUAGGCCUAACACAUGCAAGUCGAACGGCGGCACAGUAAGAGCUUGCUCUUACGGGUGGCGAGUGGCGGAUGGGUGAGGAAUACAUCGCCAUCUACUUUUUCGUAGGGGAUAACGUAGGGAAACUUACGCUAAUACCGCAUACGACCUACGGGUGAAAGCAGGGGAUCUUCGGACCUUGCGCGAUUGAUUGAGCCGAUGUCGGAUUAGCUAGUUGGCGGGGUAAAGGCCCACCAAGGCGACGAUCCGUAGCUGGUCUGAGAGGAUGAUCAGCCACACUGGAACUGAGACACGGUCCAGACUCCUAAGGGAGGCAGCAGUGGGGAAUAUUGGACAAUGGGCGCAAGCCUGAUCCAGCCAUACCGCGUGGGUGAAGGAGGCCUUCGGGUUGUAAAGCCCUUUUGUUGGGAAAGAAAAGCAGCAGGUUAAGACCCCGCUGUUCUGACGGUACCCAAAGAAUAAGCACCGGCUAACUUCGUG